rnacentral:lncRNA from 1 species
GCGACUAGGACGUUACUUUUAAUUGAUUUACUCAAGUUAGCAUUCAAGUUGAAGUUCAAGUUCAAGUUUAAAAUUCAGGUGUGGGAUUUAUUUCAGUACAUGCUGUGGUUAAUUCUUGUCCAUUUUAAUAAUAUGUGUUUACCAUAUGUGUUAUGACGUAUAUUUUGAGGAUAUCGCUAGGGGCCCGUAAAUAGGGUCCAGGACUUCACCGUCCUUGGAUUGCCACAAUGCGAUUUCAUGUUAAAGUUAUGGUUGCAACCAGUCGCCAGGGGCCGGCUCAAUCGGUCCAGGACAUUAAAGUCCUUGGUAUGCCACAGUGCGACUUUCAGUUACGAAUGUAUUGAUCAUAUGUGAUUCUCAUUUUAUUAACGUGGACAAUGAUUGCAUGUUCCCACACUGAGUGUACCCUGUAUGCUCACCCCAUAUUAAACAUUUUCAGGUUUUAAAGACCGGAGGCGCGUGGAAGGUCGAAUGGCGAAUCAAAUAUUUUGAAUUCAGUUUUUCAUAAAAAUGUUAUUUUGAGUAAAGUAUGUUUAAAUAAAUAUUUAUUUCACUAUUUUCUUGUUAAAUAUUUAUUUAUAGUCAUGAUUUUUCGCGUGCGUUUUCAUGUAAAUUUAAAAUGGAUUUGGGUGUCACAU